UACAGAGGGUGCAAGCGUUGUUCGGAAUUAUUGGGCGUAAAGGGUGCGUAGGCGGUGCGGUAAGUCUGUAGUGAAAUCUCUGGGCUCAACUCAGAGUCUGCUAUAGAAACUGCCGGGCUUGAGUAUGGGAGAGGUGAGUGGAAUUCCUGGUGUAGCGGUGAAAUGCGUAGAUAUCAGGAGGAACACCUGUGGCGAAAGCGGCUCACUGGACCAUAACUGACGCUGAUGCACGAAAGCUAGGGGAGCAAACAGG
rnacentral:rRNA from 1 species